AUGUACCACAGCAGCUACUGGAAGAAAAAAGCAGAACAAAACCCGUCGUGGGGUGAGGACUAUACUGACGUUAAUUCACGUGCUAAAUCCAUAAAGCCACCGCUGGAGUGCAGCACGCUCGACAGCCACAAAAACCUGCAGCCAGGCGGCACGAGCACUAGCCAAGCGUCGCUGGCAGCCUGGCUGGCACCUGGCCCAUGUCUCAGAGCCAGGACCAAAAGGGAGGCUGAUGGGCAGGAUGUGACCAAUAACCAGGCUUCAUCGCAGGGCUCAGACCCACCAGAAGCAGGGAGCCCUGAGCAGCUGCUUUCCAGAGGAGCCCUGGGGACAGGAGCAGGUGGCGGUGGCACCACACGGGCCCAUGGCAUGUCUCUGGCCUGGGAGGGCAGCAGGGGCUGUGGUGUGCGCGCUCUGGUGCCCAGCCCUCCGGAAGAGAAGGAAACCGGCAGAGACAGGCAGCUGAGGGACAGGCAGGAGACAGGAACAAGGUCAGCACAAACGCAGGAACCCCGGUCUCGGCUGCAGACAAAGCAUCCACCUGAGGAGCUGGAGGGCCAGAGCUGA
rnacentral:lncRNA from 1 species